rnacentral:rRNA from 1 species
AUUGAACGCUGGCGGCAGGCCUAACACAUGCAAGUCGAACGAGUGGCGGACGGGUGAGUAAUGUCUGGGAAACUGCCUGAUGGAGGGGGAUAACUACUGGAAACGGUAGCUAAUACCGCAUACCAUCGGAUGUGCCCAGAUGGGAUUAGCUAGUAGGUGGGGUAACGGCGCACCUAGGCGACGAUCCCUAGCUGGUAUGAGAGGAUGACCAGGCACACGGGAGCUGAUACACGGUCCAGACUCCUACGUGAGGCAGCAGUGGGGAAUAGUGCAAAAUGGGCGCAAGCCUGAUACAGCCAUGCCGCGUGUAUGAAGAAGGCCUUCGGGUUGUAAAGUACUUUCAGCGGUGAGGCGUUACCCGCAGAAGAAGCACCGGCUAACUCCGUGCCAGCCGCCGCGGUAAUUC